rnacentral:tRNA from 1 species
GGGAUAUAGCUCAGUGGGAGAGCGCAUGCUUUGCAUGUAUGAGGCCCUGGGUUUUAUCCCCGGCAUCGCCA